CCUACGGGAGGCAGCAGUGGGGGAUAUUGCACAAUGGGGGAAACCCUGAUGCAGCGACGCCGCGUGGGUGAAGAAGUAUUUCGGUAUGUAAAGCCCUAUCAGCAGGGAAGAAAGAAGACGGUACCUGACUAAGAAGCCCCGGCUAACUACGUGCCAGCAGCCGCGGUAAUACGUAGGGGGCGAGCGUUAUCCGGAUUCACUGGGUGUAAAGGGAGUGUAGACGGCCGUGCAAGCCAGGAGUGAAAGCCCGGGGCCCAACCCCGGGACUGCUCUUGGAACUGUGCGGCUGGAGUGCGGGAGGGGCAGGCGGAAUUCCUGGUGUAGCGGUGAAAUGCGUAGAUAUCAGGAGGAACACCGGCGGCGAAGGCGGCCUGCUGGACCGCGACUGACGUUGAGGCUCGAAAGCGUGGGGAGCGAACAGGAUUAGAUACCCUGGUAGUC
rnacentral:rRNA from 1 species